rnacentral:rRNA from 1 species
UGGAUCCAGACUUUGAUUCUGGCUCAGGACGAACGCUGGCGGCGUGUCUAACACAUGCAAGUCGAGCGGGGAACGGAUGGUAGCUUGCUACUGUUUGUUUCUAGCGGCGGACGGAUGAGUAACGCGUGAGCAACCUGCCUUUAUCAGGGGGAUAACGCAUCGAAAGAUGUGCUAAUACCGCGUAAGACCACAGCUUCACAUGGAGCGGGGGUCAAAGGAGCAAUCCGGAUAAAGAUGGGCUCGCGUCCGAUUAGCUAGUUGGUGAGAUAACAGCCCACCAAGGCGACGAUCGGUAGCCGACCUGAGAGGGUGAUCGGCCACAUUGGAACUGAGAGACGGUCCAGACUCCUACGGGAGGCAGCAGUGGGGAAUAUUGGGCAAUGGGCGAAAGCCUGACCCAGCAACGCCGCGUGAGGGAAGAAGGGUUUCGGCUCGUAAACCUCUGUCCUAUGGGACGAAGGAAGUGACGGUACCAUAGGAGGAAGCCCCGGCUAACUACGUGCCAGCAGCCGCGGUAAUACGUAGGGGGCGAGCGUUGUCCGGAAUGAUUGGGCGUAAAGGGCGCGUAGGCGGCCUGCUAAGUCUGGAGUGAAAGUCCUGCUUUCAAGGUGGGAAUUGCUUUGGAUACUGGUGGGCUGGAGUGCAGGAGAGGAAAGCGGAAUUACCGGUGUAGCGGUGAAAUGCGUAGAGAUCGGUAGGAACACCAGUGGCGAAGGCGGCUUUCUGGACUGAAACUGACGCUGAGGCGCGAAAGCGUGGGGAGCAAACAGGAUUAGAUACCCUGGUAGUCCACGCGGUAAACGAUGAAUGCUAGGUGUAGGAGGUAUCGACCCCUUCUGUGCCGCAGUAAACACAAUAAGCAUUCCGCCUGGGGAGUACGGCCGCAAGGUUGCAACUCAAAUGAAUUGACGGA